UGCCAGCCGCCGCGGUAAUACGGAGGGUGCAAGCGUUAAUCGGAAUUACUGGGCGUAAAGCGCGCGUAGGUGGCCAAGUCAGUCAGAUGUGAAAGCCCUGGGCUCAACCUGGGAACUGCAUCUGAUACUGCUUGGCUAGAGUAUGGUAGAGGGGUGUGGAAUUUCCUGUGUAGCGGUGAAAUGCGUAGAUAUAGGAAGGAACACCAGUGGCGAAGGCAUCUCUCUGGGCCGAUAUUGACGCUGAGGCGCGAAGGCGUGGGUAGCGAAUGGGAUUAGAUA
rnacentral:rRNA from 1 species